GUCCCGAUAGCUUAUUAAAAGCAUUAGUUUUGUAAACUAAAAAUGAAGGUUAAAUUCCUUCUCGGAACU
rnacentral:tRNA from 1 species